rnacentral:piRNA from 1 species
CUGGGUGGUACUACUGCUGC